rnacentral:rRNA from 1 species
CAAACCGGAGGAAGGUGGGGAUGACGUCAAAUCAUCAUGCCCCUUAUGACCUGGGCUACACACGUGCUACAAUGGACGGUACAACGAGUCGCGAAACCGCGAGGUCAAGCUAAUCUCUUAAAGCCGUUCUCAGUUCGGAUUGUAGGCUGCAACUCGCCUACAUGAAGUUGGAAUCGCUAGUAAUCGUGGAUCAGCAUGCCACGGUGAAUACGUUCCCGGGCCUUGUACACACCGCCCGUCACACCAUGAGAGUUUGUAACACCCAAAGCCGGUGAGGUAACCUUCGGGGACCAGCCGUCUAAGGUGGGACAGAUGAUUAGGGUGAAGUCGUAACAAGGUAACC